AUGAUCUCCCAGACUCAGUUCAUCUGGCUGCUAGUGCCAUGGAUCCAAGACUCCAGUGGGCAGAUUGUGAUGACUCAGACUCCAGAAUCCCUGGCAGUGUCUCCUGGAGACACAGUCACUAUCCGCUGCAAAGCCAGUUCAAGCCUCACACAUAAUAGCUAUCAUUACAUGGCCUGGUACCAACAGAAAUCAGGACAAGCUCCGAAGCUCCUUAUCUAUGCUGGAAGCUCCCUGCAAACUGGGGUCCCAGCCCGGUUCAGCGGCAGCGGGUCUGGCACUGAUUUCAGUCUCACAAUCAAUAGGGUUGAAGCUGAAGAUGCUGGAGAUUAUUAUUGUCAGGAAGUCUGGAGCUCACCUCUCACAGUGAUACAGACCAGUUCAAAAACCUCCCUGCUCUGA